rnacentral:lncRNA from 1 species
GGACUCAGCAUUCUGAAGUUUAGAGAGAGUGGGUGCAUGUGGGCCACCCCCUCAACUAUCUGUCAACAGAAGCUCUCUAGUUUUCCAGCUACUUCUUUUAAAAAAAAAAACUUGUAUCACUGCCUUUUUACUCUUUCUGAUGACAACGACACGCAGAAAAUUAUCACCAUAUAUUACACGAUAUAACAGGAAGAUGAAAGUUGUCUGGUCGAAAGAUCAAUCUUCAACUAAAAUUCUCAGUGUGGUUAUAUUUUGAAGGUCAUUUG